rnacentral:rRNA from 1 species
ACGAACGCUGGCGGCGUGCCUAAUACAUGCCAGUAGAACGCUGAAGGAAGGAGCUUGCUCUUUCUGGAUGAGUUGCGAACGGGUGAGUAACGCGUAGGUAACCUGCCUGGUAGCGGGGGAUAACUAUUGGAAACGAUAGCUAAUACCGCAUAAAAUUGAUUAUUGCAUGAUAGUCAAUUAAAAGGUGCAACUGCACCACUACCAGAUGGACCUGCGUUGUAUUAGCUAGUUGGUGGGGUAACGGCUCACCAAGGCGACGAUACAUAGCCGACCUGAGAGGGUGAUCGGCCACACUGGGACUGAGACACGGCCCAGACUCCUACGGGAGGCAGCAGUAGGGAAUCUUCGGCAAUGGACGGAAGUCUGACCGAGCAACGCCGCGUGAGUGAAGAAGGUUUUCGGAUCGUAAAGCUCUGUUGUAAGAGAAGAACGAGUGUGAGAGUGGAAAGUUCACACUGUGACGGUAUCUUACCAGAAAGGGACGGCUAACUACGUG